rnacentral:lncRNA from 1 species
CGUACCUCGUAGAGGUCUGGAAACUUUUCUUCCAAAAUAGCCCUAAUCUGGACCAGGCUCUUGAUAUACUGGCGGCAUGUAAGUCCAUCCCAAACUACUCAACACAGGCUUCUGAGAUGUGUAAAUGAAGUUUUUAAACAAAACUUGCAACAUUGCAGAAUCUCAACAGCAGUAGCAGCCCUGGCUUGUCAAAUGCUCUUGAGGCUCUGGGGGAGGUGAGAAGUGCCACGUUCAGCCAGGCACAAACUGCAGGAUAAAGAGGUCAUCGAUAACUGGUUCCAGAAAAAGAUCCAACUCUUCUUGGCCGCUCCAACAACAAACUUCCUUACCUGCCUCAGUGCCAACAAUUUCAGCUGCCCGACAUACCAAAUUGUUGUUAAAGCUCUCAGUAGCCAGAAGGCGUUCAUGGACAGUGAGACACAGCAGGCAGUCUUCACUAACUUCAUUCAACCAUUCCUGUCAAGAAAUGACUCAUCAGGUAAGAGUCUUUUAUUAGGUCUAUUUUUAUAAAUACAUUUUUUUGGUUGAAUGUGCUUCUGAUCUGCAGCCAGCACCUUGGUAACUGUGCUUUUACUUUUAUUUUUUUGCAGAUCCAGGAUGCAUUUCCUUUGUCAAUGGAAGCUUAAACUGGCUAGUGGCAAACUUUGGCAACUUCUCA